rnacentral:rRNA from 1 species
AGAGUUUGAUCCUGGCUCAGGACGAACGCUGGCGGCGCGCCUAACACAUGCAAGUCGAACGGUGAAGAGGAGCUUGCUCCUCGGAACAGUGGCGGACGGGUGAGUAACACGUGAGCAACCUGGCUCUAAGAGGGGGACAACAGUUGGAAACGACUGCUAAUACCGCAUAACGUAUCGGGAUGGCAUCUUCCUGAUACCAAAGAUUUUAUCGCUUAGAGAUGGGCUCGCGUCUGAUUAGAUAGUUGGCGGGGUAACGGCCCACCAAGUCGACGAUCAGUAGCCGGACUGAGAGGUUGAACGGCCACAUUGGGACUGAGACA